rnacentral:lncRNA from 1 species
GUUAGAAGGGCUCUUGCCCUUGUGAGUACUGAAUGCCCUUAAGAUUCCUCCAUGCCUUCCAUGGAACAAGGCUUUUCGUGCAGUUUAUCAUGAGAUGGAGGAACGGAGGCCUGGAAUAUUUCAAGGAAGUACACAGAGUUGUUCAAUGGAGAACUGAGACUGGAACCUCGGUUUCCCCGGGUGUGGGCAUGGUAUCCACAUGCCUCUUGGACAUGAAAUCACC